GACGAACGCUGGCGGCGUGCUUAACACAUGCAAGUCGAACGGAAAGGCCCUGCUUUUGUGGGGUGCUCGAGUGGCGAACGGGUGAGUAACACGUGAGUAACCUGCCCUUGACUUUGGGAUAACUUCAGGAAACUGGGGCUAAUACCGGAUAGGAGCUCCUGCUGCAUGGUGGGGGUUGGAAAGUUUCGGCGGUUGGUGAUGGACUCGCGGCUUAUCAGCUUGUUGGUGGGGUAGUGGCUUACCAAGGCUUUGACGGGUAGCCGGCCUGAGAGGGUGACCGGCCACAUUGGGACUGAGAUACGGCCCAAACUCCUACGGGAGGCAGCAGUGGGGAAUAUUGCACAAUGGGCGGAAGCCUGAUGCAGCAACGCCGCGUGCGGGAUGACGGCCUUCGGGUUGUAAACCGCUUUCGCCUGUGACGAAGCGUGAGUGACGGUAAUGGGUAAAGAAGCACCGGCUAACUACGUG
rnacentral:rRNA from 1 species